CGGGCAUUCCAGGCGGAAUACUGACGGAGCACGCCGCGUGAGUGAUGAAGGGCUUCGGAUCGUAAAACUCUGUUGUUAGGGAAGAACAAAUGUGUAAGUAACUGUUCACGUCUUGACGGUACCUAAUCAGAAAGCCACGGCUAACUACGUGCCAGCAGCCGCGGUAAUAA
rnacentral:rRNA from 1 species